GCCUGGAUGGCUCAGUUGGUUGAGCAUCUGACUUCAGUUCAGCUCAUGAUCUCGUGGUUCAUGAGUUCAAGCCCCACAUCAGGCU
rnacentral:tRNA from 1 species